CUCUUUGUCUGUCUGUUUCAGGAGCAGCAGAUGUUGAAGUUGCCAAAGAGAGACGGUCAGGAGUCUGUGAGGAACGUUCAGCUUCGAGACACAAACACUGCUCAGAAGUUGCAGGCGGCCAUAUCAGAUGCUCAAGUGGCGCAGCAGCAGCACCGCAUGGCGAGACAGAAGUCGCAGCGCUUCCUCAAGGCCAACUAGAAACAGUGAUGUCACCUCCUGUUCACUGCUGAUCUUUAUUACUUAUGAGAUGCAAAGGAAAUAUUCAUAUAAACGUGUUUUUCAGCGGUGGAGAUGAAUUUUAGUUUCUUUGUUUAAACUUCCUGUCGUCAGUUGGAAUCCAUCCAAAGAGCUGAAUCCGCAGAGGUUGUGGGUUUGAUUUCCACUGGAUGCUCUUAUUUUGAAGGUGGAGUUGUCCAAAGGGCUGGGUCAGCCGGGGUUUGGGUUUGUUUUCAACUGGAUGCUCUUAUUUUGAUGGUAUACAAAGUCACACUGCUGUGAGGCAUUCUGGGUAAAAAUCUGGAGUGGCUGGAGUCAUGUGACUGUUAUUGAAUGUAAUGUUUCUAAUCAAUCUAAUCAAUCAUCCUGUUUAUAAUUACUUAAAUCUAAGUUCUAAACAUUAAUGUGGAGACGAGUUGAGUUAUCUUUAUUUUUAUUUUGAUAUAUUUUUAUUUUAUUUUAAUAGGAGUCUCUUCAGUUUGAAGGUUUGGGGUAUUUUGUCCCUGCUGUUUGCCUGCAGGCUGCACUGUCUCAUGUUUGAAGAUGAAGCCAUAAAAACAUGUUGCACUAAACAAAUAUAGUAAUCUAGUUGUUGAUGAUGAUGAAGAUGAAGAAUGUUUGCUGGAGUUUAUCUUCAGAGAAAUAAACAAAAAUUUCACCAAAAAGAGAAUAAAAGACUGAGAAGAUUUAGACAAUCUGACUGUUCAGUUUGAUUCCUUCCUUCUGUCAUCGAUCGAUGAAUCCAAGGAUACCCGAGGAUAUAAUAGUUUACAUGUUCGCUUGUAUUUUUAUCGUCUGAAAUCUGUUUUUUAUCUUCAUUUUCAUGUUGAACUUAAAACGAAUAAGAUGAUGUAUAACCUGAAUAAAUGUCUAUAAAGAUAAAA